rnacentral:rRNA from 1 species
CCAGCAGCUGCGGUAAUUCCAGCUCCAAUAGCGUAUAUUAAAGUUGUUGCAGUUAAAAAGCUCGUAGUUGAAUUUCCGGGCCCGGCCUCGGUGGUCUGCCGCAAGGUGUGUACUGCCGGACGGGCUCACCUCAUUUCUCGAAGACUGCACGUGCUCUUCACUGAGUUGCGUGUGGGACUCGAGACAUUUACUUUGAAAAAAUUAGAGUGUUCAAAGCAGGCAGUUUCGCUUGAAUACAUUAGCAUGGAAUAAUGGAAUAGGACUUUGGUCUUAUUUUGUUGGUGUUCGAGGACCGAAGUAAUGAUUGAUAGGGACAGUUGGGGGCAUUAGUAUUUAAUUGUCAGAGGUGAAAUUCUUGGAUUUAUGAAAGACUAACUUCUGCGAAAGCAUUUGCCAAGGAUGUUUUCAUUAAUCAAGAACGAAAGU